rnacentral:tRNA from 1 species
UUUUAUAGUCUAGUUGGUUAUUACGUCAAUCUAACACACUGGUGGUCUCCUGUUCGAGCCCGGCCAAAAAAA